UACAGAGGUCUCAAGCGUUGUUCGGAUUCAUUGGGCGUAAAGGGUGCGUAGGCGGCGCGGUAAGUCGGGUGUGAAAUCUCGGAGCUUAACUCCGAAACUGCAUUCGAUACUGCCGUGCUUGAGGACUGGAGAGGAGACUGGAAUUUACGGUGUAGCGGUGAAAUGUGUAGAGAUCGGGAGGAACACCGGUGGCGAAGGCGGUCUUCUGGACGGUGACUGACGCUGAGGCGCGAAAGCGUGGGGAGCAAACGGG
rnacentral:rRNA from 1 species